UUACAACCUUACAUCCAUUGCAGUUGUCACACCUGUCCUUUGGAUUUAUUCUUUCACCUUGGCCUUUGCAUUCUGGACAAACAGUUUGGAUUUGCUGUACCAUGCCAGGUCCUAUCUGCUGAACAAGAACUUGCAUUCCUCUUCCUUUACAUACAGGGCACUUCUCUACUGCACCUCUCUUUCCACCGUAACCUUCACAUUUCCCACAAAUAACAUUUUUUUGCAGUGCCAGUUUCCUUGUAACACCAUUAUAUAAGUCUUCAAGAGAUACACCUAGCUGGUGCACAACAUUCUUGCCUCUUCUCUCUCUAUUCAUUCG
rnacentral:lncRNA from 1 species